rnacentral:rRNA from 2 species
CGGAGGAAAAGAAACCAACAGGGAUUGCCCUAGUAACGGCGAGUGAAGCGGCAACAGCUCAAAUUUGAAAUCUGGCUUCGGCCCGAGUUGUAAUUUGUAGAGGAAGCUUUAGGCGCGGCACCUUCUGAGUCCCCUGGAACGGGGCGCCACAGAGGGUGAGAGCCCCGUAUAGUUGGAUGCCUAGCCUGUGUAAAGCUCCUUCGACGAGUCGAGUAGUUUGGGAAUGCUGCUCAAAAUGGGAGGUAAAUUUCUUCUAAAGCUAAAUACCGGCCAGAGACCGAUAGCGCACAAGUAGAGUGAUCGAAAGAUGAAAAGCACUUUGAAAAGAGGGUUAAAUAGCACGUGAAAUUGUUGAAAGGGAAGCGCUUGUGACCAGACUUGCGCCGGGCGGAUCAUCCGGUGUUCUCACCGGUGCACUCCGCCCGGCUCAGGCCAGCAUCGGUUCUCGCGGGGGGAUAAAGGCCCCGGGAACGUAGCUCCUCCGGGAGUGUUAUAGCCCGGGGCGUAAUGCCCUCGCGGGGACCGAGGACCGCGCAUCUGCAAGGAUGCUGGCGUAAUGGUCACCAGCGACCCGUCUUG